AGUGAACGCUGGCGGCGUGCCUAAUACAUGCAAGUCGAACGAAGUGGCGCACGGGUGAGUAAUAUAUAGUUAAUCUGCCCUACACAGAGGAACAACAGUUGGAAACGAAUGCUAAUACAUCAUAGUGUAGGAUGAGACUAUAUCGUAUCAGCUAGUUGGUAAGGUAAUGGCUUAACAAGGCUAUGACGCGUAACUGGUCUGAGAGGAUGAUCAGUCAAAUUGGAACGGAGACACGGGCCAGACACCUACGGGAAGGAGCAGAAAGGAAUACUGCGCAAGGCGGGAAACCCUGACGCGUCAACGCCGCGUGGAGGAUGACACUUUUCGGAGCGUAAACUCCUUUUAUCAUGAAAGCGGUACCUGAUGAAUAAGCACCGGCUAACUCCGUGCCAGCAGCCGCGGUAAUUC
rnacentral:rRNA from 1 species